UAGGGCUUUUUAUGCCCGUUUCCUUUUGUUUAUCGGGCAAAGGGAAGAACAACUACAAGCAGACGAACGAAGAGAGGGAAGAAGAGGCACGAAGGCAGCGACCAUACGCCCCCGAUAUUGGCUAGAUUCGGGGAAAGAGAAGCUCGGAAACGGAAGGGAGGUGGUCUCGGUGUUGGUAAUCGAUUGAACGAGGGGGCUUCUCUGGUGUCUGGCCGAACCGAAGGAGGAGAAGAGACGAAAGCAGCGAAGCUCUCUCUUUCUCGUCUAGCUGUGAGGCGCGAAUGAAGAACGAGGUCCGAAGGAGAGUCCGUGAGGGGAUAGGUCAGCAGCAACGUCGUGGUAGGCGCCUCAGUAGGGAUUGGCAGCAAGGGUCAUCGGAAGGAAAGGAAAGGUACGAGGUUAAGGAAUCAAAGGGGGCUGUCGCCUCACGUGUUUGCUCCGGGGAAACACCCACUUCGGUGGGUUUUGCUCGACCGAAGGAGAAGUGGAGGUUCUGAGGGGUGGGCUAUUCGAGAUCGGUGGUGAUAGUGUGUGUGUGUGUGUGGGUAUUUGGGUUUUGGUGUUUGACAGGGGAAAAUGAAGAACGAAUGUUGGAGGUUGCGGCUUGCCAACGGUAUAAAAGAAGAACAAAAAGGGUACGAAUACUCUGAUUAUUAUUUAGAGAAACUUGUAGUAUUUCUUUUGGCUAGAUGAACACUACUAAGUUGUACAAUUUUUUGGUAAAGAGUAUAAGUUUCAUUUUGUUUUGGCUGUCAAUUUCAGAUUCAUGUAUCCAAACAAUCUUUCUGAUUCUUGUGAAGACCUGAUAUAUCCACCCAAAGGAUCUAAAUCUGCAGCUUUGAAGUGUGAAGAUUUGAAAUUAGUAAAGUUGAAUAGGGUGUAAUUUUUAGUUAAGUUUAUAUAAUUUUUUAAAUUUUAGUUUAAUGAAAAAUAGUUGGGUA